rnacentral:rRNA from 1 species
UCAGUAACACGUAGUCAACAUGCCCAGGGACGUGGAUAACCUCGGGAAACUGAGAAUAAACCGCGAUAGGUCACAAUUUCUUGGAAUGGGUUUUGGCUCAAAUCUAUAUGGCCCCUGGAUUGGACUGCGGCCGAUCAGGCUGUUGGUGAGGUAAUGGCCCACCAAACCUAUAACCGGUACGGGCUCUGAGAGGAGGAGCCCGGAGAUGGGCACUGAGAUAAGGGCCCAGGCCCUAUGGGGCGCAGCAGGCGCGAAACCUCUGCAAUGGGCGAAAGCUUGACAGGGUUACUCUGAGUGAUUUCCGCUAAGGGGAUCUUUUGACACCUCUAAAAAUGGUGUAGAAUAAGGGGUGGGCAAGUCUGGUGCCA